GGAGUCUUAUUUUUUCUACCUCUUUCUUCAAUAAAUAUGCUGCCACAUCAGCAAAAUAUCAUAAAUAAUAUAGAAUUAAGUGUCUUGAACUCUGUGAUAGAGUCUUGCGUUGUGAGUGCCCUAACUGGUCUAUGUACUCUUAUGCAAUGUGUAGUGAGAGGUCACAGGGAUCCUCAAACUAGACACACCAGUAGUGCUUGGUCUAGACGGUUAAGCCAAUUAAAUCCAAACAUAAGCUCCGCACAUGCUCAACAGUCAUGAUACUGCACGUCCAUAUGCCAUAUAAAUUGAGCACACUACUGCCACCUGUGGUUGAUAUGAAUGUAGUAGGUAGCUCCAUAACAUAAAUAUGAUCCCUAACUUUG
rnacentral:lncRNA from 1 species